AGCGAACGCUGGCGGCAGGCCUAACACAUGCAAGUCGAACGAAGUCUUCGGACUUAGUGGCGGACGGGUGAGUAACACGUGGGAACGUACCUUUUGGUUCGGAACAACUCAGGGAAACUUGAGCUAAUACCGGAUGAGCCCUUAGGGGGAAAGAUUUAUCGCCGAAAGAGCGGCCCGCGUUAGAUUAGCUAGUUGGUGAGGUAAAGGCUCACCAAGGCUACGAUCUAUAGCUGGGCUGAGAGGAUGAUCAGCCACACUGGGACUGAGACACGGCCCAGACUCCUACGGGAGGCAGCAGUGGGGAAUCUUGCGCAAUGGGCGAAAGCCUGACGCAGCCAUGCCGCGUGAAUGAUGAAGGUCUUAGGAUUGUAGAAUUCUUUUACCAGGGACGAUAAUGACGGUACCUGGAGAAAAAGCCCCGGCUAACUUCGUGCCAGCCGCCGCGGUAAGAC
rnacentral:rRNA from 1 species